rnacentral:rRNA from 1 species
CUACGGGAUGCUCCAGUGAGGAAUAUUGCACAAUGGGGGGAACCCUGAUGCAGCAACGCCGCGUGGAGGAUGACGCAUUUCGGUGUGUAAACUCCUUUUAUAUGUCAAGAAAAUGACGGUAGCAUAUGAAUAAGCACCGGCUAACUCCGUGCCAGCAGCCGCGGUGAAUACGGAGGGUGCAAGCGUUACUCGGAAUCACUGGGCGUAAAGGACGCGUAGGCGGGUUGGAAAGUCAGGUGUGAAAUCCUACAGCUUAACUGUAGAACUGCACUUGAAACUUCUAAUCUAGAGUAUGGGAGGGGGAGAUGGAAUUAGUGGCGUAGGGGUAAAAUCCGUAGAUAUCACUAGGAAUACCUAAAGCGAAGGCGAUCUCCUGGAACAUUACUGACGCUAAGGCGUGAAAGCGUGGGGAGCAAACAGGAUUAGAUACCCUGGUAGUC